CUCGAGUGCAGGUACAAAUCUGGCUGUCGUGAUGCCUAAAAGCAUUGCAUAGCAAGGGCCGGGCAAGACCGGUGCCAGCCGCCGCGGAACACCGGCGCUCGAGUGGUAACCGUUAUUAUUGGGUCUAAAGGGUCUGUAGCCGGCCUGAUAAGUCUCUUGAGAAAUCCGGCAGCUCAACUGUGGGCCUUUCAGGAGAUACUGUCUGGCUCGAGGCCGGGAGAGGUGAGAGGUACUUCAGGGGUAGGGGUGAAAUCUUGUAAUCCUUGAAGGACCACCAGUGGCGAAGGCGUCUCACCAGAACGGACCUGACGGCAAGUGACGAAAGCUAGGGGCACGAACCGGAUUAGAUACCCGGGUAGUCCUAGCCGUAAACGAUACUCGCUAGGUGUUGGCCACGGUGCGACCGUGGUCGGUGCCGUAGGGAAGCUGUGAAGCGAGCCACCUGGGAAGUACGGCCGCAAGGCUGAAACUUAA
rnacentral:rRNA from 1 species